GAUGAACGCUGGCGGCGUGCCUAAUACAUGCAAGUCGAGCGAAUGGAUUAAGAGCUUGCUCUUAUGAAGUUAGCGGCGGACGGGUGAGUAACACGUGGGUAACCUGCCCAUAAGACUGGGAUAACUCCGGGAAACCGGGGCUAAUACCGGAUAAUAUUUUGAACUGCAUGGUUCAAAAUUGAAAGGCGGCUUCGGCUGUCACUUAUGGAUGGACCCGCGUCGCAUUAGCUAGUUGGUGAGGUAACGGCUCACCAAGGCAACGAUGCGUAGCCGACCGGAGAGGGUGAUCGGCCACACUGGGACUGAGACACGGCCCAGAUUCCUGCGGGAGGCAGCAGUAGGGAAUCUUCCGCAAUGGGCGAAAGUCUGACGGAGCAACGCCGCGUGAGUGAUGAAGGCUUUCGGGUCGUAAAACUCUGUUGUUAGGGAAGAACAAGUGCUAGUUGAAUAAGCUGGCACCUUGACGGUACCUAACCAGAAAGCCACGGCUAACUACGUGCCAGCCGCCGCCGUAA
rnacentral:rRNA from 1 species